UACGUAGGGUGCAAGCGUUGUCCGGAAUUAUUGGGCGUAAAGAGUUCGUAGGUCGGUUUGUCGCGUCCGUUGUGAAAGCUUGGGGCUCAACCCCAAGAUCUGCAGUGGACUACGGGCAGACGUAGAGUCAGGUGAGGGGAGAACGGGAAUUCCGUGGUUGUAGCGGUGAAAUGACGCAGAUAUCAGGAGGAACACCGGUGGCGAAGGCGGUUCUCUGGGCCUGUACUGACGCUGAGGACGAAAGCGUGGGGAGCGAACAGG
rnacentral:rRNA from 1 species